GCAGUGGGAGCACCCUUUGGGGUGUGACUGCGUACCUUUUGUAUAAUGGGUCAGCGACUUAUAUUCUGUAGCAAGGUUAACCGAAUAGGGGAGCCGGAGGGAAACCGAGUCUUAAUUGGGCGUUAAGUUGCAGGGUAUAGACCCGAAACCCGGUGAUCUAGCCAUGGGCAGGUUGAAGGUUGGGUAACACUAACUGGAGGACCGAACCGACUAAUGUUGAAAAAUUAGCGGAUGACCUGUGGCUGGGGGUGAAAGGCCAAUCAAACCGGGAGAUAGCUGGUUCUCCCCGAAAGCUAUUUAGGUAGCGCCUCGUGAAUUCAUCUCCGGGGGUAGAGCACUGUUUCGGCUAGGGGGCCAUCCCGGCUUACCAACCCGAUGCAAACUGCGAAUACCGGAGAAUGUUAUCACGGGAGACACACGGCGGGUGCUAACGUCCGUCGUGAAGAGGGAAACAACCCAGACCGCCAGCUAAGGUCCCAAAGUCAUGGUUAAGUGGGAAACGAUGUGGGAAGGCCCAGACAGCCAGGAUGUUGGCUUAGAAGCAGCCAUCAUUUAAAGAAAGCGUAAUAGCUCACUGGUCGAGUCGGCCUGCGCG
rnacentral:rRNA from 1 species